CGUGGCUCUGGUUUCUUGGUCCUCCAAGAUUUCACCGAAUCGUGAUGAGGAAAUGACCGAGAUGUCCUGAGUGCUCGCGUUGGUGUGGGAUUCCGCUGAAUUCUCCCUGCCAUUACAGGUUUGAAGAGACUUGAUGUAAUGGAAGGUGGCUGCUACAAGCUUCAAGACAACCUGUUUUCGUGACUAAGUCCAAAGUGAUUUCAUCUUAAUUGCUUGGUUUUGGUCAUUAGGAACUUAUUCCCAUUUGUAGCAAAUUUCAAUGUAAUUACAUUGGGUUUUUUUUAAAGACAAAUGUGUGCUUGGAUUAUGUAACUUAUUGAAUUAAAAGUCUAAUAACCAUUAAUAAUUAUGUAUUCAACCUUUUAAUCUUU